AAAUCCGGAUAAUCAAGGCUGAGGUGUGAUGACGAGGCACUACGGUGCUGAAGUAACAAAUGCCCUGCUUCCAGGAAAAGCCUCUAAGCAUCAGGUAACAUUAAAUCGUACCCCAAACCGACACAGGUGGUCAGGUAGAGAAUACCAAGGCGCUUGAGAGAACUCGGGUGAAGGAACUAGGCAAAAUGGUGCCGUAACUUCGGGAGAAGGCACGCUGGUGUGUAGGUGA
rnacentral:rRNA from 1 species